AGUGAACGCUGGCGGUAGGCCUAACACAUGCAAGUCGAACGGCAGCACAGUAAGAGCUUGCUCUUACGGGUGGCGAGUGGCGGACGGGUGAGGAAUACAUCGGAAUCUACUUUUUCGUGGGGGAUAACGUAGGGAAACUUACGCUAAUACCGCAUACGACCUACGGGUGAAAGCAGGGGAUCUUCGGACCUUGCGCGAUUGAAUGAGCCGAUGUCGGAUUAGCUAGUUGGCGGGGUAAAGGCCCACCAAGGCGACGAUCCGUAGCUGGUCUGAGAGGAUGAUCAGCCACACUGGAACUGAGACACGGUCCAGACUCCUACGGGAGGCAGCAGUGGGGAAUAUUGGACAAUGGGCGCAAGCCUGAGCCAGCCAUACCGCGUGGGUGAAGAAGGCCUUCGGGUUGUAAAGCCCUUUUGUUGGGAAAGAAAAGCAGCAGGUUAAUACCCCGCUGUUCUGACGGGACCCAAAGAAGAAACACCGGCUAACUUCGG
rnacentral:rRNA from 1 species